ensembl:lncRNA
ACGAAAUAAUGCAAUCAGAUGGCUCUGGUUUUUCUGUGUUUUUAUUUUCUAGCUUGAUUUCUUUGAAGUUAUUUUUUUCACUACUAUAGAACAAAUAGAAUCAUGUAUUGCAGCUUGUAUUUUCCAAAGAUGGCCAUUAUCAAUAUAUCACAUCCCACACGUUCAUCUUACAGUGUGGUGUGGACACUCUUCCGCUGAGAUGUGGGGUCAAUAUUCCCUCCCCUGGAGCCUGGUUAGACCUAUGUAACUGCCCCGCUAAUAGAGCACAGCACAAAUAAUGUGACUUCUGAGGUGAGGUCAUAAAAGCAUUCCACCUGGGACCUCUCUGUCUCUCAAAAUGUUCCUUGGUAGGUCUGAGCCAGCAUGUGAGAAGUCUGGCAACCUCGAAGCCUCCAUACAAGAGAGGCCCGGCAGAGAGCCAGAGGGGCUCCCACAGGUUAGCCCCCAGUUGUUUGAGUCUUCCCAUCCCAGUGAUUCAAAUAAGUUAUUUGAGAAAAGGAUUGUGGGAGCAGCUGAGGCCUGCUGGUACACCAUAACCUGGGCUUCUCUGGUGGAUUCUUUACCACUGAGCCACCAGGGAAGCCCUCAUCUACUUCUAGGUAAAGGGUAAAAAAACCUUCUUGUCCUUCUUUGACACUUGAAAACCCAUUGAUUUUUUGGGGGAAAACAGAAGCAAAAGACCUCUACUCCAAGGGGAGAAGCAGGGAACUAUCUCAGGCUGAAAAUUCAAGCCCAGGUCUGUUCUGUUAGGGGAAAGGGAAGAAAGAUUGACCCAAAACCAACCACAGGUAGGAGGUGGAGUUUGGGAGCAGGAGCAGAAAUACUGAGAAAGAUCCACUUCUGAAACUCACAUAGGACCUGCCCAAGACUGAAGCAGAAGCAGGAUGUCAGAGACCCUGCUCUAACCCCCGUGAGCCUAGCACCAAAGAGCAAGCUAUGGGAGUAUCCUCUGGGUCGAGGGGCUGGCAUGCUGGGAUGGCUGAAAAGGUGAGAGUGGAGCAGGAAUACAGAAAAAUACAGGAAUACAGAAAAACCCUCUGACACAUGGUCUCCACUCUAAGCAGCAUCACUAGAAGGAUGUGUCUGUGACACACUGAGAUAAUGACAGCAGCAACAAAAUCCAAACCCUGCCUGACUCCUAACUAGAUUAAUUCCAUCUUGCGCCCACCCCUCAGACCAACUUGCGGACAGAAGAGGCGUGACCAUUUCCGGGCAGAAAUACCGUUUACCUCAGUCUCUGCUGUUCUACAAAGGAUAGGCACUCAAUAAGAAUUUACAAAACAUACAAAAAGUCAACAAAGAAAAAAAUCCAAUCCAUUGUCAAAAGAUACAUCAACAGAGCUAGACUGGCAAAUGACACAGAUACUGAAACCAUCAGACAGGAACUUUAAAAAUAGAAACAACUUAGUAUGUUAAACAGCCUGUUGGAAAAAAAAGUUGGCAGCUUACAUGAACAAAGGGGUAAUUUUGGCACAAACACAGAAACUGUAAGAAAGCCAAGUGGAGGGAUUUCCCUGGCUGACUCCAUGCUCCCAAUGCAGGGGGCCCGGGUUCAAUUUCUGGUCAGGGAACUAGAUCCCACAUGCUGCAACUGAAGAUUCUGCUGCCACAGUGAAGAUCGAAGAUUCUGUGUGCUGCAACUAAGACCCGGCACAGCCAAAGAAAUAAAAAGAAAGCGGAAAGGAAAGGCUAGAAAUAAAACACAUGUGAUAUCAAAGAUAAAUUCCUUCAAUGGGCUUGUCAAUAGGUAGCACAGCUGAGGAAAGAAUCCAUGAAUUUGAGAAAGGAACUAACAGAAGCUAGACUCAAACUAGAUUAAGCUAUAAAGGGACACUGACGGGGAAAAACAGAAGUGGAGCUGGCCUCAAGGCCAGCUAGAUCUAAGGACUCAAACAGUAUCUUCAGUCUUUUUUUCACUAUAAACUUUGAUGUGUGUGUUGGUGUGGCACAGAGAGUUCUGCACAUCAUCCCAGUUUAGCAAAUCCAAAGGUAGAGCUCUCCCUUCUAGCUCUAUAUAAUAAAUCUCAGGGAAGGAAUCUGAUUGGCCUGGCUUGGGUCACAUGCUUAUUGAAACAAUUACUGUGACCAGGGAAAGGAUACUCAUUUCUUGUCUGAGCCUAGGUCCAACCCCAGGGUAAUAGGUACAGAGUUUGGGGGUUGGCAAUUAGACCAGACCCAUUUGAGAAUGGCAAGUGGGGGAAGAGUUGCUGUUACCUGAAAAAAAGAGCAAGAGGGGCUUCCCUGGUGAUCCAGGGGUUAAAAAAUCUGCCCACCAAUGCAGGGCACAUGAGUGCAAUCCAGGAAGAUCCGGUCUUGGUCCGGGGAGAUCCCACAUGCUGCAGAGCAACUAAGCUUAUGCGCCACAAUUAACAAGCCAGUGCUCUAGAGCCACAGCUUCUGAAGCGUGCAUGCCUAGAGCCUGUUCUCUGCAACAAGAGAAGCCACCACAAUGAGAAGGCCACUCACAGCAAUGAACAGUAGCCCCUGCUCCUGCAACUAGAGAAGGCCCCCACACAUCAACAAAGACCCAGCACAGCCAAAAAUAAACACAUAAAUCUUAAAAAAAAAAAAAAAGCAAAA